rnacentral:lncRNA from 10 species
AUCAUACCUCAGUAAACCUGGGUGGUGGUGGGAGUCAAUAGACUUUCUCAGAUAAUCUCAUGAAUUGUCUCAUGUUUCUCAUACCAGUGAGCCUCAAAUCUGCCAUUGCCCUAUAGCUGCUAUGCUCAUAUACAUGCUGAUCACCUCCCACUUUGACUAUUAUACUUUCCUACCAACUGGUCUCCUGUUCUCCUGCCCCUACCUUCUCCAAACCAUCCAGCCCAAGAAUCUUCUGAAAGCCUUGUUUUCAUUUUAUCAUUUUUUGUAAUUAUCAAAAAAGAAAUUCAAAGGCUCUCCAUUACCUUCCAGAUAAAGUUUCUACUGAUUAGCUGAAUUUCAGGGAUCUGUUUCCAGAUCUCACUGUGUUUCCAGACUCUUUCCAUAAUAUCAUAAACCUUUAUAAGGGAUGGAUGGCAAGGAUGUGGAGAAAAGGGAACCCUUGUACAUUGAUGGAUGGCCAGAAUGUAAAUUGGUACAGCCAUUGCAGAAAGGAGUAUGGAAGUUCCCCCCACCCAAAGAAAAAGAAUAAAAAUGGAACUACCAUAUGAUCCAGCAAUGCCACUUCUGAGUAUAUACCUAAAUGAAAUAAAAUCUCUAUCUUGAAGAGAUAUUUGUACUUCCUCUCUAGGGUCUCAUCACCCCAGCCUUCUGAACACACACUCACACUCAUGUAGACACACAGAUAUACACAGAUACACUCACACACCUACACACAGAAACAUGCAUGCACUCAUAGGCAGGCAUACUCACAUACGCAUGCACCCUAUGCUGCGGCCAUCCUGAAAUCGCUUGCUGAUUUUCCAAGGUAACAUAUUGUCUCUUGCAUCUGAUAUGCCUUUGCAAAUGCUGCUCCCUUUGCUUGUGGCAUUCUUCUCGCACCUCCACUUCUCCAUCCUUCCUUCUCAACCAUUAAUGUUCAGAUCCAAGCUUAGCUCCACUGUGUUUUCCCUGAUGCUGCCUCUUCUCCACCAGCCCCGACCUGGGAAGGUGUCCCAUUUCUGAGCUUAGGGCUUGUUCCCAAGGCCUUUCUCUCUUCUCUGUAUGUUUCCCUGGUGAUCUCACCUACCCCAUGCCUUCAGCUACUAUCAUCUAUCUAAAGUGAUGAACACUCAGUAGAAUGCAGGCAGCAAGAGAAUCCUCAUUUUCUCCAUGAGGGAAAAACCUCAUGGAGAGGGAAAAAGGGACUGAAAGCAAUGGGCUGUAUGUUGACUCUUUCACCAGGUUGACUUGGGUUCCAGUACUAUCUCUGCUGCUUUUCCAAUCGCGUAUCCUGAAGUCGCUCAUUCAAUCCCUUUGCACAUCUAUCUCCUUGCCUUUGAAAUGAACAAAGUAAUCGCACUCACUUUAUAGGGUUUCUGGGAGUGGGGAAGGGGGAUUAAAUGAGAUUUUAAAAAUAUGCUCUGUAGGAUUUGGCACAGUGUUCCACCUUGAUAAUAACCCUAUAAAUGUCUGUUAAUAGCUCUCACAUUUUCCUGUUUUCUGUAAUAAGCAUUUAUUUCUUAUAGAGUCAGAAGAAAAAUAAAACAAAUGUUUCAUUAAAAAUUCUACUUAUCCUUCAAGACUGGGCUGAAAUGCCACCUCCUCUAGGAGAUUUUGCUAUUUCUCAGCAGACAUGCUCUUUCCUCUUCUUAUGCUAUAAAUGUCUUCUCUCCCCUUGCAGAUGGCACAAUUCUUAAAUGCA